AUUGAACGCUGGCGGCAUGCUUUACACAUGCAAGUCGAACGGUAACAGGUUAAGCUGACGAGUGGCGAACGGGUGAGUAAUGCAUCGGAACGUGCCCGAUCGUGGGGGAUAACGCAGCGAAAGCUGCGCUAAUACCGCAUACGAUCUGAGGACGAAAGCGGGGGACCGUAAGGCCUCGCGCGAUCGGAGCGGCCGAUGUCAGAUUAGGUAGUUGGUGGGGUAAAGGCUCACCAAGCCAACGAUCUGUAGCUGGUCUGGGAGGACGACCAGCCACACUGGGACUGAGACACGGCCCAGACUCCUACGGGAGGCAGCAGUGGGGAAUUUUGGACAAUGGGCGAAAGCCUGAUCCAGCAAUGCCGCGUGCAGGAAGAAGGCCUUCGGGUUGUAAACUGCUUUUGUACGGAGCGAAAAGGUUCUCUCUAAUACAGAGGGCUCAUGACGGUACCGUAAGAAUAAGCACCGGCUAACUACGUGCCAGCCGCCGCCGUAAAAC
rnacentral:rRNA from 1 species